rnacentral:rRNA from 1 species
UAGGGAAUCUUCGGCAAUGGACGAAAGUCUGACCGAGCAACGCCGCGUGAGUGAAGAAGGGUUUCGGAUCGUAAAACUCUGUUGUUAGAGAAGAACAAGGACGUUAGUAACUGAACGUCCCCUGACGGUAUCUAACCAGAAAGCCACGGCUAACUACGUGCCAGCAGCCGCGGUAAUACGUAGGUGGCAAGCGUUGUCCGGAUUUAUUGGGCGGAAAGCGAGCGCAGGCGGUUUCUUAAGUCUGAUGUGAAAGCCCCCGGCUCAACCGGGGAGGGUCAUUGGAACCUGGGAGACGUGAGUGCAGAAGGGGGGGGUGGAAUUCCAUGUGUAGCGGUGAAAUGCGUAGAUAUAUGGAGGAACACCAGUGGCGAAGGCGGCUCUCUGGUCUGUAACUGCCGCUGAGGCUCGAAAGCGUGGGGAGCAAACAGG